rnacentral:sRNA from 1 species
UUGCAAAAUGCAAUAAAUGUAGCAGAAUGAAAAUUGACCUCAUAAGUAGAAGCUGUCUAUCUGAUUCUGAAGCAAUGAAGUCAUCAUUGUCUUGUGCAGUGUAGUGGUUACUUCUGCUUGUGCCCAUGUCUUGGUGCGCCGAGAAAGUUGAAUUACUCUUCCCCUUUUCAACAGAUCUCCUGACUGCAGCAACCUGGAUAUGUUUACCCGUAAACAGGAAUCCAGCGUAGAUGAAACUUGCAUUGGCUACAUAGAGUUCAGAACACAGUAACAUCAAAAUUAUUCUCGUGUCUUUUUUUUUCCCACGCCACUGUAUAUCAUGCACAUGAAAUCUGUAGUAUAAGUAUAAUUUGUAAAGUUCCAAUAAGUCACCCAGCAGUUUAUAUAACAUAAAAAGCGAAACAAGAUGAAACAUCAAGAAAUACCUGAUUACGAGCAGAACCAAUCCAGUUCCGUCGUCUAGAAAGCUCAACUUCGUCCAGUCCAUAGUACGCUGGAUCUCUUGAUGCAACUAAGAUUGUCUUUUCCAACUCAUCCACCUUCCAACAUAAAAAAACACCAGUUAUACCAGAACAACUGUGCAGGAAGAAGAAAACAGAUAUUCCGAUAAGUAACUCUAAUAUAUUAAAUGCA